CAUCCUCACUCCCAACUCGUAACAUAUUGACGCUUGGUCAGGAGCCCUUUGCGUCAAUACUAUACGCACAGGGUACCCCUUUAGCGUUAUUUUUUGACGUCCUGGGUUUCCCAAUGACUUCUAUAGGAACGCCUGCGGCGUUGACAUUUGACGUGUUAAGCACGGGUAAAAUGAGAACAAAAAUAGGAAUAAAAUAAGCAUAAAAAUAAAGAAUUUGCUACAAUAAAUUAGUUAUGGCAGGGAUUGUCAUACUGUUUUUAAUGUGCUGCGAUUAUGUUUGGUUAUUCAAUGAUUAAUCAUUGCAAACGCAAUGCAAUGCAAUUAACAUUUUACACAUUUUUACAUUAUAUUUAUUUAAUUGUUUGUUUGUUUAUUUAUUUAUUGGUUGGUUGGUUGGUUGGUUGGUUUAUUGAUAGAUUUUUAUUUUAUUUUUUUUAUUAAUAAAUCCAACAAUUACUACCGCUGACGUCACUGUAAGGCGCGAUCCAUUGCGAUUUUACACUUGGUAAGUAGAACAGACAUCAAUAUAGACGGGAACAAUCCUUAAAUUUGCGUAGUAAUAAUCGUUCAAUCACGGUAAAAUUUUGUGUUUAGAACCUUUAGAAGUGUCUCACGGCAUUUCGUGAUUUGGUCACGAAAUUUAAUCUAUUUAUUCGUGGCAGGAACACGUUUAUUUCGUUAUUUUCGUAAUUCCAGCACGUUUUUUAAACUAAUGUAUUUCAAUUGGAUGGAUCUUUCGUGCAUAUAGCACGAUUUUUUCUGCCAGUCGGGCUGCAGUAGGGAAGCUAAACAUUUAUUCACAAGAUCUUAUCAAGACUGCAAUAUAUAAGAAUAAAUAGGAAUCGGCAACAAUUAACGAUCUAUGCCAGCGCAAGUCAAUAUUUAUCUGGUCAUUUUCAACUGGUUUUUAAUGUUAAAAGUCCCUCGCAGUCAACAGCUGUUUCCGGUGAGUUCUCAACUGCAGGAUCAAUAGCAUUCAGCAGUGAGUUUAACAACGCUCAAAUGUGGGUAAAAUAACAUUCAGAGAGGAGUUUUAUUAAAACAGCGUUCAACUGCAUGUAAGACAACCUUUUAGAGUCCUGUAAUAACUGUGACGUCAUCGAAUGAGACGAAGGUCCAUGGCUGUUUCAACUCGGAAGUUGAGAUGAAGGUGCGGAAACUUGAGGCUGUCGGAUACAAGUCAAUUGUAUUUACUGGGAAACGGGAUAAAAAGGACCUGCCGGAGAGCCUCGCCGUGGAGCUGCCAGAGAGCAUCGUCAUGGAACGGCCGGAGAAUCUCAACAAGGAGUCUGAGGCUGUAUUUGCAUUAAAUCUUGUUCCUCUGUCCUCUAGACUCUCUCCAACCUCUCUUGCUCCUAUUACUUUUACAACUAUUUUCCUCCACUUUCUUUCCCACCUCCUCUGACAUGCUCACUAUCACGUCUUUGCCUUUUCAAACUAUACCAUGGCUUCAAACUAUACCAUAAAGGGUUCCCCAAAUCUAACCCUGGAGGGCCGGAGCACUGCAGAGUUUAGCUCCAACCCUGAUCAAACACACCUGAUCAAGGUCUUCAUGAUCACUAGAAAAUCACAGGUGGGUAAAAUUUAUUAGGGCUGGACCUAAACUCUGUAGUGCUCCGGCCCUCCAGGGUAAGAUUUUGGGAACCCUGGAAUAAAGGGUAACUUUUUUCCUAUUACAUCUUACUCCACAAUUUGCUCCUAGUCAAAUCUAUCUUCAUGUAUAUUGAAUUCAUUUACCUAACCAGGUAAUUGUUAGCCAGUUCACAGUGUUUUAGAGGCCAUUGUCCAAGGGCUGUGGUCAAUAUAAAUUCCUGACUUAAGCUAAGAGGUCUUUGGGAAUACCAACCCAAUACAUUUUGGUUGAUUGACAAAAACAAGCACAAAUUCAUUUGACACUACUGGAAAGAACUGUAUAUCACUUGACAUAAAUAGGGACUCAUGUGAUUGUUACAAAGCAUGGCAUUCAUGUCUUAUUAAAAUGUACUUUUUCUCUUCAUCAUUUCAGGUUGUCGAUAAAAUAACUGGGGAAUUGAUAAAUAAGGGGAAAGCUGAAUUGGAAGUUCACUGGUGACCGUGCUCUGUGUGUGGCAAAACCUGGGAUGACACAUGGGAGACCGCCAGCGAAUUCCAACACAAGUCCCACAUCCCAACCAGCUUUCAGCAUGACAGCCUACACCUUUUUAUUAUCAAGCACCUUUCAAUUGUUUUUGAUUGUCUUUGCUUGCUGUUCUUUAUUAAAGUUUUUGCACAGUA